UCGUUCAUAAGCGUGAUGAUUGGGUGUUCACACUAUUGUGUGAGAUGUGCCACCUUCUAAACCUUGUUACGACAUUGGCACAGUACCCGUCUGAC
rnacentral:snoRNA from 1 species